GGCUGGUCUGAGUACAGUGGUGUUUACAACUAAAUGAUCACAACGACUUACAGAUUUCUUUGUUCCUUCUUUACUCCCACUGCUUCACUUGACUAGCUUUAA
ensembl:misc_RNA Y_RNA Y RNA